ACUCCUACGGGAGGCAGCAGUGAGGAAUAUUGGACAAUGGGCGCAAGCCUGAUCCAGCCAUGCCGCGUGCAGGAAGACUGCCCUAUGGGUUGUAAACUGCUUUUAUAUAGGAAGAAACCUUUCCACGUGUGGAAAGCUGACGGUACUAUAAGAAUAAGGAUCGGCUAACUCCGUGCCAGCAGCCGCGGUAAUACGGAGGAUCCAAGCGUUAUCCGGAAUCAUUGGGUUUAAAGGGUCCGUAGGUGGAUAAUUAAGUCAGAGGUGAAAGUUUGCAGCUCAACUGUAAAAUUGCCUUUGAUACUGGUUAUCUUGAAUUAUUGUGAAGUGGUUAGAAUAUGUAGUGUAGCGGUGAAAUGCAUAGAUAUUACAUAGAAUACCAAUUGCGAAGGCAGAUCACUAACAAUAUAUUGACACUGAUGGACGAAAGCGUGGGGAGCGAACAGGAUUAGAUACCCUGGUAGUCCACGCCGUAAACGAUGGUCACUAGCUGUUCGAACUUCGGUUUGAGUGGCUAAGAGAAAUUGAUAAGUGACCCACCUGGGGAGUACGUUCGCAAGAAUGAAACUCAAAGGAAUUGACGG
rnacentral:rRNA from 1 species